AUUGAACGCUUGCGGCAUGCCUAACACAUGAAAGUCGAACGAGUGGCGUACGGGUGAGUAAUGUCUGGGAAACUUCCUAAUGGAGGGGGAUAACUACUGGAAACGGUAGCUAAUACCGCAUACCAUCGGAUGUGCCCAGAUGGGAUUAGCUAUUAGGUGGGGUAAAGGCUAACCUAGGCGACGAUCCCUAGCUGGGCUGAGAGGAUGACCGGCCACAUUGGAACUGAGACACGGUCCAGACUCCUACGGGAGGCAGCAGUGGGGAGUAUUGCACAUUGGGCGCGAGCCUGAGGCAGCCAUGCCGCGUGUAUGAAGAUGGCCUUCGGGUUGUAAAGUACUUUCAGCGGGGAGGCGUUACCCGCAGAAGAAGCACCGGCUAACUCCGUGCCAGCCGCCGCGGUAAUAC
rnacentral:rRNA from 1 species